CUUGACUAAGUUAAUGAUGAGAGGCUUCUGUGAAUAUAUGUCCUGAAGGAGGCUCUCAGUUGAUUUUCCUACAUAAUGAGCACUUCUUAUUCUUAACACUUGAAGUAUGAUAAUAGUUAUUUUAUUUCUUCAUUUUUUAUAUUUGAAUACAGGACAUUGAUCCAGGCUGGUAUGUCUAUGGGUUCGCUGCUUCGUCCUUGUAGUAAUUGGUGAAUAGGCAAAAAACAAACAAUUGAUGAUGAUUUUAAAUCAGAGAGAACUGAAUUCUGUCUGCUUCUGCCGUUGCUCCCAGCUGAGGCUUUUGCCAGCUGCUGCUUCCACAACAACUUUUUCGAUCUUUCAGUGCCAGCUACAGGUGAAUUUGUAUCAAAUGCUAUCAACUUGUUCAGCAUCCCCAUCUGUUAAACUUUACUGAUUUUGGUUACCAUGGAAUACUACAUUUAAGGUGGGGCUAUUGGUGCCAUGCUGAUAUAUGACAUGCACGUGCUCAUAGAGAACUUGUUUACCAAGUUUCUUUUAUAAAAGUCAAUAGAAUUGUGCAAAUAACUUCUGCAGUGCUCCCUGUGGGAAAAUAUGGGUUAUGGCUCAUUAACUGCAUCCGGCAAUACAUUUCAGAAGUUUGGUUCAGGGCCAUCGAAAUAUGAUAUGCAAUAAGCUAGGUGAAGAUGAGACGAAAUACAUGCCAAAAGAAGCUAAAAUUGCGUUAAACAAAAAAUUCUACAACGGCGAGACAUUUUUUAUAGGCGCAAAUGGGUGUGGCCCAUAUCAAUCACAUCAGCAUCAUCCAGAAACACACUGUGUAACUGUAAUUUUACUCACGGUUCAUGAGGUUUUAGCCAAAAUAUAAAACACCUAUUAACUCACAACAGGGAGUGAGGCAGAGGACACCCUGUGAUCCAGGGCUAGCUAACAUUAGCCACAUAAACGUGAACUUGACGCCUUUGGCUCCUGUUAUCAAAAAGCUAAACAAUUGUCUCAACAGCUGUGUGACUGUCUCUCCAUGCAUGUAUGUAUAGAUUUGACCUCAGCUAAAACCAAGGAAGUAUUUUUAUAUACAUUUGCUUUGAAGCAUGACUCCUCCAUUUCAUUUGUAUUAAGUUUUAUUUUUACAGAGAGACACCUUUACAUGCCAAAACCAGACACGUGAUUGGCUUAUUGUGUAUACACCAGAGGAAACAAAACAUCUGUUGACAUCAGACAAGACUAGAAAACAAACUGAAGUAGUCAUGUUGGAGCAGAACAGUACAUGCAGCACAAGGAGCUAGGGCUGCCCCCUGAUAGUCGACCAAACAAUAGUCGACCAGGAAGGUCAGUAAUC